AUGCAUCGGCCGGGAAUCGAACCCGGGGGCGCCCGCGUGGCAGGCGAGCAUUCUACCACUGAACCAAAAACAAACGAUGACA
rnacentral:tRNA from 1 species